AUUUUUAGAGUUUGGUACAUGACAGUACUCGACACAUGGCCCAUGGGUUUGUUCCUCUCAUUUUGGCUUCUCAGAGACCUUUCUUACAAAAGGAAGUCUUCAAAUGCUUUAUUAUGCCAAUAAAAUCUUCCUUCUGAGGACCUGUGAUGGGACCUUAAGGCUGAUACUGCUCCGAAUUCUACAAGGAAUUCAGUUCAACCUUAGGAUCCCCUGUCAUGGGACUCAACUUAAUCCAAAUCCAAAACAGGUGAGUAAAACCUAACAUGACCAUCAGCAUGGCACCCAGGAUUACCCAUACAAACAGAGCCUUCAUGGCUGCUAAGUGGGCUAUGCAGCACACUUUCAUUUAUUUGUGCCUUCCGCAGCACGCCUGU
rnacentral:lncRNA from 1 species